rnacentral:rRNA from 1 species
ACGCACGCUGGCGGCGUGCUUAACACAUGCCAGUCGAACGGAAAGGCCUGCUUUCCCUUGUGGAUUGCGGGUACUCGAGUGGCGAACGGGUGAGUAACACGUGAGUGAUCUGCCCCCAACUUGGGUAUAAGCCUGGGAAACUGGGUCUAAUUCCCGAUAGGACUGCAGGGUGGUGCCUGUGGUGGAAAACGAUUUUCUAGUGGUUGGGGAUGAGCUCGCGGCCUAUCAGCUUGUUGGUGGGGUAAUGGCCUACCAAGGCGGCGACGGGUAGCCGGCCUGAGAGGGUGGACGGCAACAUUGGGACUGAGAUACGGCCCAGACUCCUACGGGAGGCAGCAGUGGGGAAUAUUGCACAAGGGGCGGAAGCCUGAUGCAGCGACGCCGCGGGGGGGAUGACGGCCUUCGGGUUGUAAACUCCUUUCGACCGCGAGGAAGCCACCUGGUUGGAAGGGUGGUGACGGUAGUGGUAGAAGAAGCACCGGCUAACUACGUG